CUUUACCUUGGCUUCAAAACAACCCUAUGAGGUAGGUACUAUGAUUGUCUCUGUUUUGCAUAUGAGUAAACUGAGGCUCAGAGAAUGAAUCAGUGUGUGUCAGAUCACAGAGAGAGGAACUGGGGCAGAGCUGGAAUGUCUCAACAGGCCUGUGAACCCUUAGCCAGGCUGGUAAUACUCUGGAAUGACAAGAAAAUGCACCUUCUUAGGGCUGUGGUUAAAUUAAACAGUAACAUAUGCAAAGCUGAGCAUAUAAGAGAAGAAGCACUUCUGGAGAAGUUGUCAAUGGACAACGAAGAUCACUGAAGCUAGGAGGCUGGCAACAUGCUGCUGGGGACGAGACCCUGGGCAGAUGCUGCCAGAACUCAGAAUGCUCUGUCCUCAGAGAUUCACAAGCCUGAGUGGGGCCUGUUUCUCAUUUCCAGUCCCCAGGUGUGGUUUCGAGAAGAGGCUUCAGGAAGGGAAAGCUGACCAGGGAGAUGGUUUCUGAAAGGAUGUGUCUUUCUGGACCAGAGGAAACAAGCCACAAGCUGGGUGGAAGACAAGCCAUACGCCUGCUGUAGAAAUAUUCCUGCUCCAUGUUUCCUUUUUGCCCUCUGGACUGAGUCCUUUUGACGAAAGAACACUCAGAACCUGCUGAGCUUUGGGCUGGCACUGGGAUUCACUCACUCUCAGGGAAAUCACCUGUGGGAUUCCCAUAUGUAAAACACACCUCAAAUUGGAGCCACCUGCGUGAAGGAGGUUUCAUGAACACCGAAAACACCAGCCUUUGGCUUUUCCUCAGUGAGAGCCCACAGCGCCUCCUUGUGGACUAUCUGAUAAACUGGAACCAGUUCUCGCAGGGCUGAAGGACGGUGGUCACCUAGAGGCAUUGCCCAGGAUCUGCACUGCGCUGUCCACCCAGGAAUUACUCUGUUUUCUUCUACUUUUAAAUAAAUUUGGGAGAUGGGCUGGGUGUGGUGGCUCACACCUGUAAUUUCAGCGUUUUGGAAGACCGAGGCGGGAGGACGGCGUGGGACCAGGAGUUCAUGACUGGCCUGGGCAACACAGUGAGACCCUGUCUCUAUUUUAAACAACGACAACAACAUAUUUAAAAAAUAAAAAUAAGAAAAUAAAUUUGGAAGAUGAACACAUUCUAUUUUAAUUCUGUUAGUGAUCAGUAAAACUGGCUUAAAAGCUGAGUUUCCUUUGGUUCCCUUUUGUUUUAUAAAAAAUGUCUGUGUGUACCUUUGUCAACAGCCUGAAUCCUAUGAAUCACAGGUUCCCCUGGGGAAGAUGGGGGUUUGAGUUUGGUUUCUUACUUGUGUUUAUAGGGUUCUGGGCAACUUGGGAGGGCGAGACACUAUGCCCUCAUGGGAUAACACUAAUU
rnacentral:lncRNA from 1 species